UACGUAGGGUGCAAGCGUUUGUCCGGAAUUAUUGGGCGUAAAGAGCUCGUAGGCGGCUUGUCGCGUCGGCUGUGAAAACCUGGGGCUCAACCCCGGGCCUGCAGCCGAUACGGGCAAGCUAGAAUUCGGUAGGGGAGACUGGAAUUCCUGGUGUAGCGGUGAAAUGCGCAGAUAUCAGGAGGAACACCGGUGGCGAAGGCGGGUCUCUGGGCAUUAACUGACGCUGAGGAGCGAAAGCAUGGGGAGCGAACAGG
rnacentral:rRNA from 1 species